UUGAAGAUACUCAGUUGAAAAAAAAAUCAAAAGAAUUUACUAACGUUUGUAAGUUUAUGUAAUUACAGUUUAAUGCAAUAAGCUUGUUAUCGAUUAAUAUUUAUGGGUGAUUUUAGUCGAUUUAGUUUUAAGUUUGAUAAAAAUGCUAUUUUUCUUAUGUAUGUCCCUCUUUUUUUUUUCAAUUUGUUUGUAUAUUUUCCGUAUUGUUUUGUGCCAAUAACUUCUUUUCCUUAAAAAUUCCCUUGUUUUAAUGCAACAUAUAGUCAUGCAUUGUGUGAAUUUCAAGUGUGGUUUUUGUUUGAUUUUAUUUGUUUUUAUUAAUAUUGAUGGCAUCACAUUACGUUCCUAUUUAUUGCCCUUUUAAUAAGUGCAGGGAAGUUGUACAUGAUUUGAAUAUAAAAUUUUCAGGAUAGAAGAAAAAUAAUAAACUAAAGUUGAAACAGUU
rnacentral:misc_RNA from 1 species